rnacentral:tRNA from 1 species
GGAAGGAUGGCCGAGCGGUUGAUGGCACCGGUCUUGAAAACCGGCAUACCUUAACGGGUAUCGUGGGUUCGAAUCCCACUCCUUCCG